UGGGGAAUAUUGCACAAUGGGCGAAAGCCUGAUGCAGCGACGCCGCGUGAGGGAUGACGGCCUUCGGGUUGUAAACCUCUUUCAGUAGGGACGAAUCGCAAGUGACGGUACCUGCAGAAGAAGCACCGGCUAACUACGUGCCAGCAGCCGCGGUAAUACGUAGGGUGCGAGCGUUGUCCGGAAUUACUGGGCGUAAAGAGCUCGUAGGCGGUUUGUCACGUCGUCUGUGAAAUCCUAGGGCUUAACCCUGGACGUGCAGGCGAUACGGGCUGACUUGAGUACUACAGAGGAGACUGGAAUUUCUGGUGUAGCGGUGGAAUGCACAGAUAUCAGGAAGAACACCGAUGGCGAAGGCAGGUCUCUGGGUAGUAACUGACGCUGAGGAGCGAAAGCAUGGGUAGCGAACAGG
rnacentral:rRNA from 1 species